AAGUUGCAGGGUAUAGACCCGAAACCCGGUGAUCUAGCCAUGGGCAGGUUGAAGGUUGGGUAACACUAACUGGAGGACCGAACCGACUAAUGUUGAAAAAUUAGCGGAUGACUUGUGGCUGGGGGUGAAAGGCCAAUCAAACCGGGAGAUAGCUGGUUCUCCCCGAAAGCUAUUUAGGUAGCGCCUCGUGAAUUCAUCUCCGGGGGUAGAGCACUGUUUCGGCAAGGGGGUCAUCCCGACUUACCAACCCGAUGCAAACUGCGAAUACCGGAGAAUGUUAUCACGGGAGACACACGGCGGGUGCUAACGUCCGUCGUGAAGAGGGAAACAACCCAGACCGCCAGCUAAGGUCCCAAAGUCAUGGUUAAGUGGGAAACGAUGUGGGAAGGCCCAGACAGCCAGGAUGUUGGCUUAGAAGCAGCCAUCAUUUAAAGAAAGCGUAAUAGCUCACUGGUCGAGUCGGCCUGCGCGGAAGAUGUAACGGGGCUAAACCAUGCAC
rnacentral:rRNA from 1 species